UACGGAGGGUGCAAGCGUUAAUCGGAAUUACUGGGCGUAAAGCGCACGCAGGUGGCUGAGUCAGUCGAUUGUGAAAGCCCUGGGCUUAACCUGGGAAUUGCAGUCGAUACUACUCAGCUAGAGUAUGGGAGAGGGUAGUGGAAUUCCCGGUGUAGCGGUGAAAUGCGUAGAUAUCAGGAGGAACACCGGUGGCGAAGGCGGGUCUCUGGGCAACAACUGACGCUGAGGAGCGAAAGUGUGGGGAGCGAACAGG
rnacentral:rRNA from 1 species